CAUUAGGAAGCUAUACAGCGUUAAAUUUUUAAUUUAAAGAUGAUUUUUAUCCCUAAUG
rnacentral:tRNA from 1 species